GACGAACGCUGGCGGCGUGCUUAACACAUGCAAGUCGAACGAAGUGGCGGACGGGUGAGUAACGCGUAAUCAACUUGCCCUUCAGAGGGGGACAAUAGUUGGAAACGACUGCUAAUACCGCAUACUGAAGGAGGGGAUUGCGUCGGAUUAGCUAGUGGGGGGGGUAACGGCCAACCAAGGCGAUGAUCCGUAAGCUGUCUGGGAGGGUGAACGGCCACAAUGGGACUGGGACACGGCCCAGACUCCUACGGGAGGCAGCAGUGGGGAAUCUUCCGCAAUGGACGGAAGUCUGACGGAGCAACGCCGCGGGGGUGAUGAAGGCCUUCGGGUUGUAAAGCUCUGUUAAUCGGGACGCGGUACCGGAAUAGAAAGCCACGGCUAACUACGUGCCAGCAGCCGCGGUAAUUC
rnacentral:rRNA from 1 species